GACGAACGCUGGCGGCGUGCCUAAUACAUGCAAGUUGAGCGAUGAAGAUUGGUGCUUGCACCCAUUUGAAGAGCAGCGAACGGGUGAGUAACGCGUGGGGAAUCUGCCUUUGAGCGGGGGACAACAUUUGGAAACGAAUGCUAAUACCGCAUAACAACUUUAAACAUAAGUUUUAAGUUUGAAAGAUGCAAUUGCAUCACUCAAAGAUGAUCCCGCGUUGUAUUAGCUAGUUGGUGAGGUAAAGGCUCACCAAGGCGAUGAUACAUAGCCGACCUGAGAGGGUGAUCGGCCACAUUGGGACUGAGACACGGCCCAAACUCCUACGGGAGGCAGCAGUAGGGAAUCUUCGGCAAUGGACGAAAGUCUGACCGAGCAACGCCGCGUGAGUGAAGAAGGGUUUCGGAUCGUAAGACUCUGUUGGUAGAGAAGAACGUUGGUGAGAGUGGAAAGCUCAUCAAGUGACGGUAACUACCCAGAAAGGGACGGCUAACUACGUG
rnacentral:rRNA from 1 species